AUACGAAGGUCCCAAGCGUUAUUCGGAAUCACUGGGCGUAGAGAGUACGUAGCCGGUUUGGUAAGUCAGGUGUGAAAUCCCGGAGCUCAACUCCGGAACUGCAUCCGAUACUGCCAGACUUGAGUAAUGGAGAGGCAGGUGGAAUUCUCGGUGUAGCAGUGAAAUGCGUGGAUAUCGAGAGGAAGACCAAUGGCGAAGGCAGCCUGCUGGACAUUUACUGACGCUGAGGUACGAAGGCUAGGGGAGCGAAAGGGAUUAGAAACCCCAGUAGUCC
rnacentral:rRNA from 1 species